UAACUGCCACCGGUCAGCGCUCCCUUGUGUGCCACUCAAAUGCACCCGCGCCGACCCCUGGCCUAGGCUAUAAGGAGAUUGCCAAGACCCCGAUACUGAGCUGCAGCACAGUGAGCAAGACCAUACAGCAGUUUUACAGGACAGGUUUCACUCAGAACAAGCCUUGCCAUGGUCGACCCAAAAAUUAUGAGUGCACAUGAUCAGCGUCAUAUCCAGACUUUGUAUAACAACAUAUGCCGCGCACUGCAUCAAAUUGAUCUGCAUGUUGUCGUCCCAGAAAGAAGCCUCUUCUAAAUAUAAUGCACAAGGAAGCCAGCAAACCAUUUAGUAAAGAGAUUCAGACUAAGGACAAGGAUAGUGGAACCAUGUGCUGUGGUUAGAGGAUACUAUAAAAGUUAUUUGGUUCAGAUCGUGUUAAGUGCGUUUGGCAGCAACCAGAGACUGGGCCGCAGUGCAGUAUUACAACCUAACCCCAAAGACACCACCAAGAUGACAACUGCCUUGCUAAGGAAUCUUAGGAUAAAGGUGAUUGUCAAGCAUGUCUCCAUACCUAAACCCUAUUGAGCAUCUGUAGGACAUUCUCAAACAGAAGGUAAAAUCCCAUUAAUAGCUUUAGAUUAAAAAACAAAAAAGCCAAAUAGAUCUGCUAUAAAGGUAUAAGAAAUUCAUCAGCACAGAAUUUUGAACCUAUAUAAAAGAAAUGAAAAACGUGAUAUUCAAAAGAAACCUGAUCAGUGAAGUGAUAGCUGGAAAAAAAACCUACAGGAUAAGCUAGAAAGGAAAAUUGCUAUCUUACAAAGUAUAAUAUUUCACUGAGUAACAUCAUUGCGAUACUGUAAGACAUGGAGUAGAGAAAUC